AAUAGAUACCCGGGUAGUCCACGCCGUAAACGAUGAGUGCUAAGUGUUAGAGGGUUUCCGCCCUUUAGUGCUGCAGCUAACGCAUUAAGCACUCCGCCUGGGGAGUACGGCCGCAAGGCUGAGACUCAAAGGAAUUGACGGGGGCCCGCACAAGCGGUGGAGCAUGUGGUUUAAUUCGAAGCAACGCGAAGAACCUUACCAGGUCUUGACAUCCUCUGUCAACCCUAGAGAUAGGGCGUUCCCCUUCGGGGGACAGAGUGACAGGUGGUGCAUGGUUGUCGUCAGCUCGUGUCGUGAGAUGUUGGGUUAAGUCCCGCAACGAGCGCAACCCUUGAUCUUAGUUGCCAGCAUUUAGUUGGGCACUCUAAGGUGACUGCCGGUGACAAACCGGAGGAAGGUGGGGAUGACGUCAAAUCAUCAUGCCCCUUAUGACCUGGGCUACACACGUGCUACAAUGGAUGGUACAAAGAGCUGCGAACCCGCGAGGGUAAGCGAAUCUCAUAAAGCCAUUCUCAGUUCGGA
rnacentral:rRNA from 1 species